GUUUUUUUGUUUUUGCUUUUGUCAGAUUUGUUUGAUUGAGAUACAAGAGAGAAGAUGAAUGUUUAGCAUAAAGAAGAAAAAGUUUUUCUUUUGGUUCAACUUGCAUUGAGAAAGAGAGAAACAAGUUUCACUGCUCACCCUUUUUUGCGUUUCCACAUCUCUUGGUGUUUUUUUUGUCAAAAACACUAAAUAGUAAUCUCUUUUUUA
rnacentral:lncRNA from 1 species